rnacentral:rRNA from 1 species
UACGAAGGGGGCGAGCGUUGUUCGGAUUUACUGGGCGUAAAGGGCGCGCAGGCGGCGGACCAAGUCAGGCGUGAAAGCCCCGGGCUUAACCUGGGAGGUGCGUCUGGGACUGGUUGGUUAGAGUUCGGGAGAGGAGAGUGGAAUUCCCAGUGUAGAGGUGAAAUUCGUAGAUAUUGGGAAGAACACCGGUGGCGAAGGCGGCUCUCUGGACCGAGACUGACGCUGAGGCGCGAAAGCGUGGGGAGCAAACAGG